rnacentral:tRNA from 1 species
GGCCUCGUAGCUCAGCUGGCAGAGCGUGCGCUGUACAAAAGCGUAGGCGGCGUCCGUGCGUGAAUUCGAAUCCCACCGAGGCUA